AUUGAACGCUGGCGGCAUGCCUUACACAUGCAAGUCGAACGGCAGCAUGAUCUAGCUUGCUAGAUUGAUGGCGAGUGGCGAACGGGUGAGUAAUACAUCGGAACGUGCCCUGUAGUGGGGGAUAACUAGUCGAAAGAUUAGCUAAUACCGCAUACGACCUGAGGGUGAAAGUGGGGGACCGCAAGGCCUCAUGCUAUAGGAGCGGCCGAUGUCUGAUUAGCUAGUUGGUGAGGUAAAGGCUCACCAAGGCGACGAUCAGUAGCUGGUCUGAGAGGACGAUCAGCCACACUGGGACUGAGACACGGCCCAGACUCCUACGGGAGGCAGCAGUGGGGAAUUUUGGACAAUGGGCGAAAGCCUGAUCCAGCAAUGCCGCGUGUGUGAAGAAGGCCUUCGGGUUGUAAAGCACUUUUGUCCGGAAAGAAAUGGCUCUGGUUAAUACCUGGGGUCGAUGACGGUACCGGAAGAAUAAGGACCGGCGAACUACGU
rnacentral:rRNA from 1 species